rnacentral:rRNA from 1 species
GACGAACGCUGGCGGCGUGCUUAACACAUGCAAGUCGAACGGAAAGGCCCUGCUUGCAGGGUGCUCGAGUGGCGAACGGGUGAGUAACACGUGGGUGAUCUGCCCCUUACUUUGGGAUAAGCCUGGGAAACUGGGUCUAAUACUGGAUAGGACCAUGCUGUAGGUGGUGUGGUGGAAAGAUUAGUUUCGGUAAGGGAUGAGCUCGCGGCCUAUCAGCUUGUUGGUGGGGUAAUGGCCUACCAAGGCGUCGACGGGUAGCCGGCCUGAGAGGGUGGACGGCCACAUUGGGACUGAGAUACGGCCCAGACUCCUACGGGAGGCAGCAGUGGGGAAUAUUGCACAAUGGGCGCAAGCCUGAUGCAGCGACGCCGCGUGGGGGAUGACGGCCUUCGGGCUGUAAACUCCUUUCAGCCAUGACGAAGCCCUUGUGGUGACGGUAGUGGUAGAAGAAGCACCGGCUAACUACGUG